UCUUAAUUUUUCAGUGACAUUAAAACAGGAAUAGUCAUCACCAAUAGACGAAUUUCACUUUCCUAAGAGUUUUCUUCAAUUGUCGGCGUAUCGCUCAUUUUCCCCACUUGUCCUUCGUCCUGUUAUGUGGAUGCCCUAAGACAGUGUCUACCCAUCACUCCUCUGAUAUCAGUUGUUCUGUGCAUAUUUCUCUCUCAAACCUAAACUACAGAGAGCCUGUGGAUAGAGGAUGAAGAGUGACCUUGGACUAAUUUUCUAGGUCAGAGAUCAUAGGUGAUGUGAAGAAAACCAGGAAACUGAUGUUGAAAGGAGUACUGAAUGACCCUUAUGAA